rnacentral:tRNA from 1 species
GCCUUCGUGGUGUAACGGUUAACGCAUACGGCGGCGCGUAUUCGAGAGGUCCAGGUUCGAGUCCCGGCGAGGGUA